UUUCCAUCACAAAAAUAUCUCAUUUUCAAAACAGUCCAACACCUGGACAAUUCUUUUCAUAAAACAUUUUACUCGAUUGGAGUGUAUAACGCUCUGGAUUGCACGGGUGAUCAGCCACGUACAAUCCCCAUACCGGACUUUACAGUCCCUCUGGACGUGAAUAGGGUACCCGGAAAGACAUUAUAUUUAGUCUUUCAAAUGCCAGCCCUCACUGGUCUUCAUAAUGUGCCAGCCCUCACUGGUCUUCAUAAUCAAUUAGCUGGACCGGCGUUACUCGGCCACUUACGCCUCCAAUCUAUAGAAUUCCGUGGAAAACCAUUAAAUUGGAAAAACUUUCUUCUUUAAAAGAAAUAUCUUUCUUUUUUCAAAAACCUUCUUAACCUUUCAAAUCAUUAGGACAUUCGCAAUCACUUGCAAGUCUAANNNNN
rnacentral:lncRNA from 1 species